ensembl:snRNA U6 U6 spliceosomal RNA
GUGCUUGCUUCAGCAGCACAUAUACUAAAACUGGGACUAUAUAGAGAAGAUUAUUAGCAUGGCCCUUGUGCAAGGAUGACAUGCAAAUUCGUGAAGCUUUCCAUAUUUAA